UACGUAGGGUGCAAGCGUUGUCCGGAAUUAUUGGGCGUAAAGAGCUCGUAGGCGGUUCGUCGCGUCGGCUGUGAAAUCCCGGGGCUCAACCCCGGGCGUGCAGUGGAUACGGGCUGGCUAGAGGCAGGCAGGGGAGAACGGAAUUCCCGGUGUAGCGGUGAAAUGCGCAGAUAUCGGGAGGAACACCGGUGGCGAAGGCGGUUCUCUGGGCCUGUACUGACGCUGAGGAGCGAAAGCGUGGGGAGCGAACAGG
rnacentral:rRNA from 1 species